GGUCUGGUGGUCUAGUGGUAUGAUUCUCGCUUAGGGCAAACCCUAUAGCUGCAGCUUGCGAGAGGUCCCGGGUUCAAUCCCCGGCCAGACCC
rnacentral:tRNA from 1 species